AGAGUUUGAUCCUGGCUCAGAACGAACGCUGGCGGCAGGCCUAACACAUGCAAGUCGAGCGCCCGCAAGGGAGCGGCAGACGGGUGAGUAACGCGUGGGAACGUGCCCUUUGGUUCGGAAUAUUCCCGGGAAACUGGGAGCAAAACCGGAUAAGCCCUUCGGGGGAAAGUUUACGCCAAAGGAUCGGCCCGCGUUAGAUUAGGUAGUUGGUGGGGUAACGGCCUACCAAGCCUACGAUCUAUAGCUGAUCUGAGAGGAUGAUCAGCCACACUGGGACUGAGACACGGCCCAGGCUCCUACGGGAGGCAGCAGUGGGGAAUCUUGGACAAUGGGCGCAAGCCUGAUCCAGCCAUGCCGCGUGGAUGACUGAAGGCCCUAGGGUUGUAAAGUCCUUUCGACGGGGACGAUAAUGACGGUACCCGUAGAAGAAGCCCCGGCUAACUUCGUGCCAGCAGCCGCGGUAAUACGAAGGGGGCUAGCGUUGUUCGGAUUUACUGGGCGUAAAGGGCGCGUAGGCGGAUUUUUAAGUCGGGGGUGAAAUCCCGGAGCUCAACUCCGGAACUGCCUUCGAUACUGGAAGUCUGGAGCACGGUAGAGGUGAGUGGAAUUCCGAGUGUAGAGGUGAAAUUCGUAGAUAUUCGGAGGAACACCAGUGGCGAAGGCGGCCCACUGGACCGUUGCUGACGCUGAGGCGCGAAAGCGUGGGGAGCAAACAGGAUUAGAUACCCUGGUAGUCC
rnacentral:rRNA from 1 species